rnacentral:lncRNA from 1 species
GACGAAUUGAUUAUGGGGAAUUUGUUGCUAUGAUGCAAAAAGGAAAUCCUUGUGGUGUAGGGAGACGAACAAUGCGAAAUAGUCUGAACUUGAGCAUGAGAGAUGCAGCAGGAGCUAAUUAGCUUCUGAGACAGACAUAUCUCUAGCAGGUAUGUUCCUGUCAUCUUUUUGAAGUAACCCACUUGAGCAUGAGAGAUGCAGCAGGAGCUCAUUAGCUUCUGAGACAGACAUAUCUCUAGCAGGUAUGUUCCUGUCAUCUUUUUGAAGUAACCCAUUUUUGUGGAUGCGCAAAAACUUAUAGCAAUUAGGAACUUAUAGCACAUAAUAAUGAAAGGUGCACGGUUUUACUGCUUGCCUUGUUUUGAUGAACCAAUGAAAAAUCUUAAAAUUGUUCUUUUCUACUUGAGAAACUGAAUUUAAAAGCAUGUACCCUAUUUAUAUUUAGAGUUCUUUAACUUUUGGAUUCUCAUCUUUUCCUCUAUAAAAAUGGGUACAUGCCUUUAAAUCCAAAAGGGUGCAUUGAGUUCUUUAACUUUUGGAUUCUUAGCUAGUUUCCAAAAAGAUAGAUUUAGUGAAAAGCCCUCUUGUAUUCUCCCUCAACAUUGAUAAAAUUGAUAGGCUUACAGGUUUCCAUUAGAGCUAAUUUCCUGCACUCCUGUGAGCCUGACUGAAUUGUUGAGAUCUACAUCCUUUUGGUUAUUUCUCUUUACAAGAAGCGAUGAACAAUUAUCUCCUCCUUUUGGAAAAUUUCAUAAUAUUUACUUUCUUAGUUCUCCUAAAAGAAGUAAUGGAUAUCAAGUAAUGUACCCUUCUUUGAGUUGUACUGCGGACAACUCUUGUUCUCUUAGAUAUUUUCAAAGAUU